GUUGUAUGGUUAAGUGACUAAGCGUAGACGGUGGAUGCCUUGGCAGUCAGAGGCGAYGAAGGACGUAUUAACUUGCGAAAAGCCCAGAUAAGGCAGUAAAAGCCAUUUGAAUCUGGGAUAUCCGAAUGGGGAAACCCACCUGCAUAAGCAGGUAUCUUAGCGUGAAUACAUAGCGCUAAGAGGCGAACUCGGGGAACUGAAACAUCUAAGUACCCGAUCCGAAUGGGGAAACCCACCUGCAUAAGCAGGUAUCUUAGCGUGAAUACAUAGCGCUAAGAGGCGAACUCGGGGAACUGAAACAUCUAAGUACCCGAAGGAAAAGAAAUCAAUUGAGAUUCCGGCAGUAGCGGCGAGCGACCCCGGAUUAGCCCUUAAGCAGACUUGGCGUUAGGUGAACAGGUUGGAAAACCUGGCAAYAAAGGGUGAUAGCCCCGUAACCGACGGCGCCAUAUKUGUGAAAACGAGUAGGACGGGACACGUGAUAUCUUGUCUGAACAUGGGGGGACCAUCCUCCAAGGCUAAAUACUCCUGACUGACCGAUAGUGAACCAGUACCGUGAGGGAAAGGCGAAAAGAACCCCUGUGAGGGGAGUGAAAUAGAACCUGAAACCGUCUACGUACAAGCAGUGGGAGCCCCAUCACUAAGACACCUUAUCUUAGUGAGACGCUAUCACUUUGUUGAUUGGGUUAACCACGCGAAGCGUGGGUCAACCGCCCAAUCAAGCAGAGGUGACUUAGUGAUGGGGUGACCGCGUACCUUUUGUAUAAUGGGUCAGCGACUUAAUGUUAGUAGCAAGGUUAACCGCAUAGGGGAGCCGUAGGGAAACCGAGUCUUAACUGGGCGUGUAGUUGCUAGCAUUAGACCCGAAACCGAGUGAUCUAGCCAUGGGCAGGUUGAAGGUUGAGUAACAUCAACUGGAGGACCGAACUCACUAACGUUGAAAAGUUAGGAGAUGACCUGUGGCUAGGGGUGAAAGGCCAAUCAAACUCGGAGAUAGCUGGUUCUCCCCGAAAGCUAUUUAGGUAGCGCCUCGGACGAACACUACUGGGGGUAGAGCACUGUUAAGGCUAGGGGGUCAUCCCGACUUACCAACCCUUUGCAAACUCCGAAUACCAGUAAGUGCUAUCCGGGAGACACACGGCGGGUGCUAACGUCCGUCGUGGAGAGGGAAACAACCCAGACCGCCAGCUAAGGUCCCAAAGUUAUCGCUAAGUGGGAAACGAUGUGGGAAGGCUCAGACAGCCAGGAUGUUGGCUUAGAAGCAGCCAUCAUUUAAAGAAAGCGUAAUAGCUCACUGGUCGAGUCGGCCUGCGCGGAAGAUGUAACGGGGCUAAGCGAUACACCGAAGCUGCGGCAAUGCGAUUUAUCGUAUUGGGUAGGGGAGCGUUGUGUAAGCYGUUGAAGGUGUGCUGAGAGGCAUGCUGGAGGUAUCACAAGUGCGAAUGCUGACAUGAGUAACGAUAAUGGGGGUGAAAAACCUCCACGCCGGAAGACCAAGGGUUCCUGUCCAACGUUAAUCGGGGCAGGGUAAGUCGGCCCCUAAGGCGAGGCCGAAAGGCGUAGUCGAUGGGAAACGGGUUAAUAUUCCCGUACUGCURCUUACUGCGAUGGGGGGACGGAGAAGGCUAGGUGGGCCUGGCGAUGGUUGUCCAGGUUCAAGGGUGUAGGCUGUAAUCUUAGGCAAAUCCGGGAUUACACACGGUCGAGACCCGAUGUCGAGCCACCAAGGUGGUGAAGUCAUUGAUGCCAUGCUUCCGGGAAAAGCCUCUAAGCUUCAGGUAAGUAGGAACCGUACUCCAAACCGACACAGGUGGUCGGGUAGAGAAUACCAAGGCGCUUGAGAGAACUCGGGUGAAGGAACUAGGCAAAAUGGUACCGUAACUUCGGGAGAAGGUACGCUGCMCACGGUGAAGUCCCUUGCGGAUGGAGCUAUGGGCAGUCGCAGAUACCAGGUGGCUGCAACUGUUUAUUAAAAACACAGCACUGUGCAAAAUCGAAAGAUGACGUAUACGGUGUGACGCCUGCCCGGUGCCGGAAGGUUAAUUGAUGUGGUUAUCGCAAGAGAAGCCAUUGAUCGAAGCCCCGGUAAACGGCGGCCGUAACUAUAACGGUCCUAAGGUAGCGAAAUUCCUUGUCGGGUAAGUUCCGACCUGCACGAAUGGCGUAAUGAUGGCCACGCUGUCUCCACCCGAGACUCAGUGAAAUUGAAAUCGCAGUGAAGAUGCUGUGUACCCGCGGCUAGACGGAAAGACCCCGUGAACCUUUACUACAGCUUGGCACUGAACAUUGAGCCUACAUGUGUAGGAUAGGUGGGAGGCUUUGAAACGGCGACGCCAGUUGUCGUGGAGCCAUCCUUGAAAUACCACCCUUGUAUGUUUGAUGUUCUAACUUAGCCCCCUAAUCGGGGGUGAGGACAGUGCCUGGUGGGUAGUUUGACUGGGGCGGUCUCCUCCCAAAGCGUAACGGAGGAGCACGAAGGUGGGCUAAUCACGGUCGGACAUCGUGAGGUUAGUGCAAUGGCAUAAGCCCGCUUAACUGCGAGAGUGACGGCUCGAGCAGGUACGAAAGUAGGUCAUAGUGAUCCGGUGGUUCUGAAUGGAAGGGCCAUCGCUCAACGGAUAAAAGGUACUCCGGGGAUAACAGGCUGAUACCGCCCAAGAGUUCAUAUCGACGGCGGUGUUUGGCACCUCGAUGUCGGCUCAUCACAUCCUGGGGCUGAAGUCGGUCCCAAGGGUAUGGCUGUUCGCCAUUUAAAGUGGUACGCGAGCUGGGUUUAGAACGUCGUGAGACAGUUCGGUCCCUAUCUGCCGUGGGCGUUGGAUGAUUGAGGGGAGCUGCUCCUAGUACGAGAGGACCGGAGUGGACGAACCGCUGGUGUUCGGGUUGUGUCGCCAGACGCAUUGCCCGGUAGCUAAGUUCGGCACAGAUAAGCGCUGAAAGCAUCUAAGCGCGAAGCUGGCCCCGAGAUGAGUCAUCCCUAGAGCUUCGAGCUCUCUAAAGGGUUGUUU
rnacentral:rRNA from 1 species